rnacentral:piRNA from 1 species
UGGGAUGAGAAACGGGACUUUAUGGCAGC